rnacentral:rRNA from 1 species
CCUACGGGUGGCAGCAGUGGGGAAUCUUGCACAAUGGGGGAAACCCUGAUGCAGCGACGCCGCGUGAGUGAAGAAGUAUUUCGGUAUGUAAAGCUCUGUCAGCAGGGAAGAACAUGACGGUGCCUGAUUAAUAAGCCCCGGCUCACUACGUGCCAGCAGCCGCGGUACUACGUAGGGGGCAAGCGUGAUCCUGAUUUACUGGGUGUAAAGGGAGCGUAGACGGCAGCACAAGUCUGGAGUGAAAUGCCGGGGCUUAACCCCGGAACUGCUUUGGAAACUGUGCAGCUAGAGUGCAGGAGAGGAAAGUGGAAUUCCUAGUGUAGCGGUGAAAUGCGUAGAUAUUAGGAGGAACACCAGUGGCGAAGGCGGCUUACUGGAUUGUAACUGACGGUGAGGCUCGAAAGCGUGGGGAGCAAACAGGAUUAGAUACCCGAGUAGUC